GGACCUCUGGCGCAACGGUAGCGCGUUCGACUCCAGUUCUGGRWUGUCAUCGAAAGGUUAUCCGUUCAAAUCGGGUGGGGKUCA
rnacentral:tRNA from 2 species